rnacentral:rRNA from 1 species
GAUGAACGCUGGCGGCGUGCCUAAUACAUGCAAGUCGAGCGAACAGACGAGGAGCUUGCUCCUCUGACGUUAGCGGCGGACGGGUGAGUAACACGUGGAUAACCUACCUAUAAGACUGGGAUAACUUCGGGAAACCGGAGCUAAUACCGGAUAAUAUAUUGAACCGCAUUGUUCAAUAGUGAAAGACGGUUUUGCUGUCUCUUAUAGAUGGAUCCGCGCCGCAUGAGCUAGUUGGUAAGUUAACGGCUUACCAAGGCUACGAUGCGUAGCCGACCUGAGAGGGUGAUCGGCCACACUGGAACUGGGCCACGGUCCAGACUCCUACGGGAGGCAGCAGUAGGGAAUCUGCCGCAAUGGUCGAAAGCCUUACGGAGCAACGCCGCGUGAGUGAUGAAGGUCUUCGGAUCGUAAAACUCUGUUAUUAGGGAAGAACAAAUGUGUAAGUAACUAUGCACGUCUUGACGGUACCUAAUCAGAAAGCCACGGCUAACUACGUG